rnacentral:sRNA from 2 species
ACUCAACACUAACAUUUUAGAAUGAGCAAAUCUUCAUUACUAUAGCAUGCCCACCUUGUAGUGGGAUCCUUGAACAGUGAGUUAGCUCAAAACUUGUCAUAACGAGUUU